rnacentral:rRNA from 1 species
UACGAAGGGGGCUAGCGUUGUUCGGAAUCACUGGGCGUAAAGCGCACGUAGGCGGAUCUUUAAGUCAGGGGUGAAAUCCCGGGGCUCAACCCCGGAACUGCCUUUGAUACUGGUAGUCUCGAGUCCGGAAGAGGUGAGUGGAAUUCCGAGUGUAGAGGUGAAAUUCGUAGAUAUUCGGAGGAACACCAGUGGCGAAGGCGGCUCACUGGUCCGGUACUGACGCUGAGGUGCGAAAGCGUGGGGAGCAAACAGG